AAGGAGUUAGUUAAUUAUAACAUUAGAUUGUCAAUCUAAAAUUACUAAAAAUUUAGUGCACCUUG
rnacentral:tRNA from 1 species